AAAAUUCCAUCGACCUGUAAAUUAAGUUAACACAGACCCACGUCUAUCUAACCUUGCCAAAUCCAACACAUUCUCGCCAGAUAGAAUACCUAGAAAAUAUCAUCCGGUUGUAUCUGAUUAGUGUUGUAUGUACGUGUAUUCUCACAGAUAAACAUGAAUCUGAAAUAUCUAUUUUUGUUUUUCCUGCUCAUAUUCUUCAGUAUGGGCGUCAUGGCAAGGCCAUCAUCGGGAUCAGGACUAAAUGAAACAGAGGAAUCAACAACAAAACGUACUAAACUUGUUCAGAACCCUUUCGUACCAUUUGCUAUUCCCAUGAUCAUCACUGAGGACGAGGAAUCUUACAAGAAGUCCGAAAACGAAACUUCCAAAGUCUAAAUAAUUGUUGUAAACUUUACUUAUUAGAUAACUAAUUUAUACAUGUAUCGAAUAAUGAAUUAUUAGAUAGACUAUUAUUAAUAUAUAAAAUAAAAUAAAACAUCGUUUAAGGGAAUAAUA